CCUCUUGAAUAGCUGAGCAACAUAAACAUUCGUCAAUCCAGUUUCUUCAGCAAUCUGACCAUAAGUCUUGCCUGACUUGUGCUUCACUGCUUGAAGUUCAGCUGCUAUGCUUAGUUUCUUGCUCUGUUCUGCCAUUUUUGACUUGACAAGAAAAUCGUGAAUCAGCAGCGUUAUAACCACAAGAAAGGCUGGCGGCUACCACUGAAUCAUUUAAGGCGUGGUGGGCAAAUUUACCUCCCAUCAAUUGUCAUAUUAAGUGAUUUCUUAAAAAUACAGAU
rnacentral:lncRNA from 1 species